rnacentral:rRNA from 1 species
AUUGAACGCUGGCGGCAGGCUUAACACAUGCAAGUCGAGCGAGCGGCGGACGGGUGUGUAAUGUCUGGGAACCUGCCUUAUGGAGGGGGAUAACUACUGGAAACGGUAGCUAAUACCGCCUACCAUCGGAUGUGCCCGGAGGGGAUUAGCUAGUAGGUGGGGUAAAGGCUCACCUAGGCCACGAUCCCUAGCUGGUCUGAGAGGAUGACCAGCCACACUGGAACUGAGACACGGUCCAGAAUCCUACGGGAGGCAGAAGUGGGGAAUAUUGCACAAUGGGCGAAAGCCUGACGCAGCCAUGCCGCGGGUGUGAAGAAGGCCUUCGGGUUGUAAAGUACUGUCAGCGGGGAGGCGUUACCCGCAGAAGAAGCACCGGCUAACUCCGUGCCAGCAGCCGCGGUAAUAC